GACGAACGCUGGCGGCGUGCUUAACACAUGCAAGUCGAACGGAAAGGCCCUGCUUGCAGGGUACUCGAGUGGCGAACGGGUGAGUAACACGUGGGUGAUCUGCCCUGCACUUCGGGAUAAGCCUGGGAAACUGGGUCUAAUACCGGAUAGGAGCCAUUUUUAGUGUGAUGGUUGGAAAGUUUUUUCGGUGUAGGAUGAGCUCGCGGCCUAUCAGCUUGUUGGUGGGGUAAUGGCCUACCAAGGCGGCGACGGGUAGCCGGCCUGAGUGGGUGGACGGCCACAUUGGGACUGAGGUACGGCCCAGACUCCUACGGGAGGCAGCAGUGGGGAAUAUUGCACAAUGGGCGCAAGCCUGAUGCAGCGACGCCGCGUGGGGGAUGACGGCCUUCGGGUUGUAAACUCCUUUCGCUAGGGACGAAGCUUUUUGUGACGGUACCUAGAGAAGAAGCACCGGCUAACUACGUG
rnacentral:rRNA from 1 species